UAGAGUUUUGAUCAUGGCUCAGAUUGAACGCUGGCGGCAUGCCUUACACAUGCAAGUCGAACGGCAGCAUGAUCUAGCUUGCUAGAUUGAUGGCGAGUGGCGAACGGGUGAGUAAUACAUCGGAACGUGCCCUGUAGUGGGGGAUAACUAGUCGAAAGAUUAGCUAAUACCGCAUACGACCUGAGGGUGAAAGUGGGGGACCGCAAGGCCUCAUGCUAUAGGAGCGGCCGAUGUCUGAUUAGCUAGUUGGUGAGGUAAAGGCUCACCAAGGCGACGAUCAGUAGCUGGUCUGAGAGGACGAUCAGCCACACUGGGACUGAGACACGGCCCAGACUCCUACGGGAGGCAGCAGUGGGGAAUUUUGGACAAUGGGGGCAACCCUGAUCCAGCAAUGCCGCGUGUGUGAAGAAGGCCUUCGGGUUGUAAAGCACUUUUGUCCGGAAAGAAAUCGCACUUACUAAUAUUAGGUGUGGAUGACGGUACCGGAAGAAUAAGGACCGGCUAACUACGUGCCAGCAGCCGCGGUAAUACGUAGGGUCCAAGCGUUAAUCGGAAUUACUGGGCGUAAAGCGUGCGCAGGCGGUUGUGCAAGACCGAUGUGAAAUCCCCGGGCUUAACCUGGGAAUUGCAUUGGUGACUGCACGGCUAGAGUGUGUCAGAGGGGGGUAGAAUUCCACGUGUAGCAGUGAAAUGCGUAGAGAUGUGGAGGAAUACCGAUGGCGAAGGCAGCCCCCUGGGAUAACACUGACGCUCAUGCACGAAAGC
rnacentral:rRNA from 1 species